UCCUUUAAGUUUCAGUAUCAGAUCAAAUCACGUCUUAUAAUAAGAAGAAAUCUUUCUCGAUAUCAAUCCCCUUGCCCCUCAUUCUUUGAGAAUCAGUAGGAUCCUUUUUGAGUUUCUGACUUUACUUGA
rnacentral:rRNA from 1 species